UCGAUAAAAAGAAGACUGCAAUGUGGAUCGGGACAAGUUCACUUUAUUCUGUUCACCUGUCUGGUACUAAAAACAUUAGUUCACAUUAUUCAUAGGCGCAAGUUCACUUUGUAUUUUCAGGUUGUUCUUUUGGUUCACAUUAUUGUUGUCUAACACAAUAACAGAAAUUCAAACAAAAAUAAUAGAGGAUGGUCUUCAGCGAGGACAAUCACCUGGAUGACAAACAAUAUGUUCAUCGGAGACAUUUGAACUAUUAUUUUGAGCAUUUCCUGAAGAAAAAAACUACGGGUUGUCACAUGUGUGGCCUCCGGUGCUGAGUGGAAGCUUACGAUUGGGUACUGAACCCCCGAAAGGCCGCCUCCCAGGCUGUGCUGCAGCGACGUGUGCACUGCAUCCUGCUGGCCAACAUUUGCAUCGGUGUCGACACUGCUGCUGCUGUAGAAAUCUCACAAGCUUGCCUCAUGGAGCGAUCUAGUCAGCUGUAUUGGGUUGGCUCAAUCCAAGAAAUAGUACCGAGAAAAAUGCAAG